rnacentral:pre_miRNA from 1 species
UAUCCAUCCCAAAAUAAAUUUAUUUCUAGGUUUUGACAGUCUGUCUUAUUUAUUUAUUUUAAUUAGUAUUUUGAUUGUUAUUAGAUGAUAAAACAUAAAUAAUAUUUUAUGCAUGACUUAUUUUUUUAAGAUUUUUUUAUAAAUUUUUAAAAUAAGAUAGACGGUCAAACUUUCAACCUAGAAACCCAUAAAUGAAUUUAUU